rnacentral:rRNA from 1 species
UGCUUGCAAUCCGCUGACGACCGGCGCACGGGUGCGUAACGCGUAUACAACCUACCUUUUGGAGGGGAAUAGCCCAGGGAAACUUGGAUUAAUGCCCCAUAGUAUAACAUUCUCACCUGAGAUUGUUAUUAAACAUUUAUGGCCAUUAGAUGGGUAUGCGUCCUAUUAGCUAGAUGGUAAGGUAACGGCUUACCAUGGCUACGAUAGGUAGGGGUCCUGAGAGGGAGAUCCCCCACACUGGUACUGAGACACGGACCAGACUCCUACGGGAGGCAGCAGUGAGGAAUAUUGGACAAUGGGCGAGAGCCUGAUCCAGCCAUGCCGCGUGCAGGAAGACUGCCCUAUGGGUUGUAAACUGCUUUUAUACGGGAAGAACCGCACCUACGUGUAGGUGUUUGACGGUACCGUAAGAAUAAGGAUCGGCUAACUCCGUGCCAGCAGCCGCGGUAAUACGGAGGAUCCAAGCGUUAUCCGGAAUCAUUGGGUUUAAAGGGUCCGUAGGCGGGGUAAUCAGUCAGUGGUGAAAGUCUGCAGCUUAACUGUAGAAUUGCCAUUGAUACUGUUAUCCUUGAGUUAUU